rnacentral:lncRNA from 1 species
AUGCAAGAACCCGUGGUGAAGAAAAAGAACAAAGACGAUAUAUGGGGUGCCAAUCAGCUUGGCCAGCUCCAGGCUCUUCCUGCUGCAGCCGUUCUUCUUCCUUCCCCUGUAAGAGCAGCAGAAGCAACAGUCUUCAGUUAAUACACUGCACUUUAGACUUGGCAAGUA